AACGAACGCUGGCGGCAGGCUUAACACAUGCAAGUCGAGCGCCCCGCAAGGGGAGCGGCAGACGGGUGAGUAACGCGUGGGAAUCUACCCAUCUCUACGGAAUAACGCAUGGAAACGUGUGCUAAUACCGUAUACGUCCUUCGGGAGAAAGAUUUAUCGGAGAUGGAUGAGCCCGCGUUGGAUUAGCUAGUUGGUGGGGUAAAGGCCUACCAAGGCGACGAUCCAUAGCUGGUCUGAGAGAAUGAUCAGCCACACUGGGACUGAGACACGGCCCAGACUCCUACGGGAGGCAGCAGUGGGGAAUAUUGGACAAUGGGCGCAAGCCUGAUCCAGCCAUGCCGCGUGAGUGAUGAAGGCCCUAGGGUUGUAAAGCUCUUUCACCGGUGAAGAUAGUGACGGUAACCGGAGAAGAAGCCCCGGCUAACUUCGUGCCAGCCGCCGCGGUAACAC
rnacentral:rRNA from 1 species